CACACGACUCUCGGCAACGGAUAUCUCGGCUCUCGCAUCGAUGAAGAACGUAGCGAAAUGUGAUACCUGGUGUGAAUUGCAGAAUCCCGUGAACCAUCGAGUCUUUGAACGCAAGUUGCGCCCGAGGCCACUCGGCCGAGGGCACGCCUGCCUGGGCGUCACGC
rnacentral:rRNA from 1 species